rnacentral:lncRNA from 1 species
UCCGCCCACCUCCUCCCUGCCCUCCUCCCGGGGAGGAGACGCCGCUCCAGCGGGAGGCAGGAUGGUUGCUACCUGGGGCGGCCGCCAGCUCCUCCCGCAGGGCUCCGGGCCGCCCCUCGCCCCAGGGUCGCCGGCUCCUAGUGCAGCCCAGGCUUCCCGGCCGGCCCCUCCCAGCCCUGGGAAGACGUCCCCCGGGCCCCCUCAGCCCUCCGCCUCCCCUUCUCUCCCUUUCUCCCCGCUCCUGGCAGGCUGCAGCCGUCUCCUCCCGGUGCUCCCUCCUUCCUUGAGCUCUCUCCACCGCUGCCCACUGGGGGCUACAGCUUCCCGGCUACCCUGGAAGCUGGAGGCCGGGACCAGCUCUUCAGGUGACAGGCCUCUGUGUCUCCACAGUGGGCAGAGGGGAGCCUGCCUGGCUGAUGAGCAAGCCUCGACUUUGUCAUCAAGGCAGAGAAGGGGCCCGGGGUCUUCUCUGGCCCAGCCUUUGACUGAAGCUGGUCUGGAGACAGGGGCAUUAGAGAAG